rnacentral:rRNA from 1 species
UACAGAGGGGGCAAGCGUUGUUCGGAAUUACUGGGCGUAAAGGGCGCGUAGGCGGCCACGCAAGUCGGAUGUGAAAUCCCUCGGCUCAACCGAGGAACUGCAUCCGAAACUGCGAGGCUCGAGUCCUGGAGAGGGUAGUGGAAUUCCCAGUGUAGCGGUGAAAUGUGUAGAUAUUCGGAAGAACACCAGUGGCGAAGGCAGCGAACUGGCGCUCGAUUGACGCUCAGGCACGAAAGCAUGGGGAUCAAACAGG